rnacentral:lncRNA from 1 species
UUUUUUUAUUAUUUUUUCAGGCAGUGACAUUCUUCAGGGCAGUGAAGGACAGAGCUUAGCCUGUGAUCACAAAAAUGUUAGUCUUAUUUCCUAGGCUGUUAGAGCAAGGGAAGAAGAAAAGCAGGGGAAAAGUCAGUUUUAAAAUCGGCCACCUGGACUGUUUAUACUGAAAGCAUCAAGUGGACCCCAUUAUGCUCAGGUAGGAAAAGGAAUGGAAGCGUUCCCUGUCAAAUGUACAUAAGGCCACUAUAGACCACUGCAAGGUGGAAAGUCGGCUCCAGACUCCACACUCAGCAGAAUCCAUCCUCCCACCAAGGCAGGCCAUCCCAGCCUUGCCAGCUUAUUCUCAGCAUGCCCACCAGGUAGUCAGUGGAGCUGGACUGAGAAUUUAAAUUGGGGACAGAAUAGCUAGGCUGGUUUUAUGCUCCUGAGCAUGUGGUAGAGAAAAUACAAAUCAUCUUUGGAGGAACAAGAUUAAUUUUAAUCCUCAACAAAUUCCCACGGGAGGGGGGGGGGGGAGUAAAAGGUGAAAUAAGCAGAAACUUUCAUAUAUUAAAAAAACAAAAAAAAAGCUUUAAUGUCUUUUAAAAAAGAUUUCAAACAUGUAAGGAAUUAAAAAAAAAUACAAAGAUAACAGAAUUGAAAAAAGAACCAAAUAGGAAUUUUAGAAAAUAAAUUAACAAAUAUACAAUUAGUUAGAAUUAAAACUAAAAGUUUAAUGGAUGGGUUUAAAAGCUCAUUGAACCCAACUAAAGGAAUUUAAUGAACUGUGCAUCAAGGUUAUAUAAAGUUAUCUAAAGUAAUUAUCCAGAGUGCAUAGAGAAAAAUGUAAAAGUAAUUUUUUAAAAAAUCUAUAUUUAGUAACAAAAUGAUCUGACAUGCUUGUAAUUUAUGUAUAACUGAUCAUGUUUGAAAAGCAAAUAUAAAUUAUUGUUAUGUAAUCAUAAUACUGUAGUAUCAGAAUGAUACAGAUGUAAGAUUUAAAAGAUGACAAUUCUAGAAUUGAUGGAUUCGAUUAUAAUUAAAAAUAAAUGAAAUGAAAAAUAGUAUAACAAAAAAGAGGUCACUGUGAUCUGUAAAUUAAACUUUUAAAUCCUUAACAAAUAUAAUAUUGACGUUCUUAAGUGUCUUCUGUUCCGUACUGACAGAUGGCAUCAAACUAAAGCUUGUUUGAAAUUCUGCAUGUAAGAUUAUUAAGCAAUGGGUUAUUUGUGUAUUUUCUAUCUAGCUAACUUUACCAAAUUCUGCUAAUUUC